rnacentral:rRNA from 1 species
UACGGGGGGGGCAAGCGUUGUUCGGAAUUACUGGGCGUAAAGGGCUCGUAGGCGGCCAACUAAGUCGGAUGUGAAAUCCCCAGGCUUAACUUGGGAACUGCAUCCGAUACUGGAUGGCUUGAAUCCGGGAGAGGGAUGCGGAAUUCCAGGUGUAGCGGUGAAAUGCGCAGAUAUCGGGAGGAACACCGGUGGCGAAGGCGGUUCUCUGGGCCUUACCUGACGCUGAGGAGCGAAAGCGUGGGGAGCGAACAGG